UACGGAGGAUCCGAGCGUUAUCCGGAUUUAUUGGGUUUAAAGGGUGCGUAGGCGGCCUUGUAAGUCAGGGGUGAAAGACGGUAGCUCGACUAUCGCAGUGCCUUUGAUACUGCAGGGCUUGAAUGUACUUGAGGUAGGCGGAAUGUGACAAGUAGCGGUGAAAUGCAUAGAUAUGUCACAGAACACCGAUUGCGAAGGCAGCUUACUAAAGUAUGAUUGACGCUGAGGCACGAAAGCGUGGGGAUCAAACAGG
rnacentral:rRNA from 1 species